rnacentral:rRNA from 1 species
GACGGAGGAUGCAAGCGUUAUCCGGAAUGAUUGGGCGUAAAGCGUGCGCAGGCGGCUUUGCAAGACAGAUGUGAAAUCCCCGGGCUUAACCUGGGAACUGCAUUUGUGACUGCAUGGCUGGAGUGCGGCAGAGGGGGAUGGAAUUCCGCGUGUAGCAGUGAAAUGCGUAGAUAUGCGGAGGAACACCGAUGGCGAAGGCAAUCCCCUGGGCCUGCACUGACGCUCAUGCACGAAAGCGUGGGGAGCAAACAGG